UCGGCUCGGGAGCGUGCGCGGUGGGCAGUCUGGCGUCAGGCUAGCUCCUUGGACUUCCUGCCCCGCGGCUGACAGAGUGCGGGGAGUCCGCUGCUUCCUUGGGGCGGACGUCCCCACGUCAGCCGGGGAGCCCCUAGCCGCUGGAGUCUGACCUGGGCGGCCCCUCCACAGCUCCAUCCGAACCUCUGAAGUAGAAUCUCCAAAAGGAACAUGCUGCUGCUCUCCAAAGUGGGAAAGGGAUGCUGGGGAAUAAAAACACAGAGACCAGAACAGUCACCCAGCGGCUGUGCGUGCGUGCGGUCACGUGGGUGACAGUGGGGGGAUGGCCUGACAGCGGCAGUAAGAGGUUAAUGAAGGAGCCUACACAGUCGUUCUCUCCUCAAGACAACGCGGCACUCUGGAGGGUGAGUGGAGGCUUCCAGGGGCAGGAGAAGGACCCAGGUAUGCGGGGAAAGAAAGCAGACUGCACGGCCUCCUGUCCUGGACCUUGGCAUGGGUUUGUGGAGAGAGUCAAGGAAAAGGAUGGAAAAUCAAUAGUAAGCAGAGCGAAGGCCUCUGAGAAGGAUUUGUUAUCUUUGUGGCCUGCAUUCAGAGUGGAGCCUUUAUGUCCAUGUGAGUCUCUGCGUAUCUGUGACAUGCUUACCUACUUCUGAUUCCAGGACUGCUAGGAGAACAUGGCUUCCCAGUGACUGGGAAGAGACGCAAUCUGACCCCACCAGACUCAGCAAGUGAUGGCUGCAGCAAGGAGUCCCUGGGCUCACCCACCCUCAAGAAAGAAAAAACAGGAACCGCACAGGGACAGAAAUCAGCCAGCGAGGCCUCCCAGCAGCAUUCCAGGCACUUCUGCUGCAAGGAGGUUGCUGGCCCCAAAGCAGCUUCUUAGGGAACUCUUUCGUCAGUGGCUGAAACUUCUUUCGAAAGAACAGAUCCCGGAGCUUCUGGUUUCGGAGUAGUUUCUGACAUCUUGCCCAGAGGAGAUCCAGAACGGGUGAGGACCAGCAUCCAGAAAAUGCUGAGGAAGCCAUGGCUCUGAGGAUGCACAGAGAUCCCAGGACAACAGCAGGUGUGCGCUGGGGCUAUGGAGAGACCAAGACACUCCUGGCCAUUCUCAGUAGUUCUCCACUGUGAAAACCCUCAGGCCCACGAGAACAGCAGACACAAACGGCCGCGGCAGAAUGACUGGGAGUAGGGCGUUCUGUCACACCAAGUUGCAGAGCCUCCAGUCAAGUUACUGUGAAGCCAAGAAGGCAUGUGUCUGAACCUUGUGUUUUGAGAUCAAGAAAUGAGAUUAAAAAAAAAGAGUCAAAUGCAAUGAUUCAGAGGAAGUAGAAACGAAGAGGCUUUACAGAGACGUCCAGUAGAGAGACUUUUGCCAUUUUGAGCCAAGAACAGGCUGGAAGAAUGAGCCAGCGUCAAGAGGGCAACACCUCAGUUCUCCAGGGGAGAGUGAGAAGCAACCCCCAGCCCAUCCCAGCCCCCCCGGGACUCUGUGCUGCAGUCUCUCCCCCUUUCCUCUGUGGGAACCACUCUCAAGCGCAGAAAACUGUGGCUUUGGUGAGAGGAAUAAGCAGAGGCAGAACAAGAAGUUGAGUGUUUGCUCCACACAGGAGAAGCCGCUUUGGAGAGAGAGGCUGGGCAAAGGCAGGUGUGGGCUUGGAGGUGACCUGUUUGGGACAACCUGACUUCACUGGUGACUUGUAGGAAAGGAAGACAGCCCAGGGACAGACCAGCUGCUGAAGGGCUUUGGAUGUCUGCUCCCAGAAGCUGGUCUGGGAAAUGAGAGAGCCAGAGAAGCCAACAGAGAGGCCUCACUAAGGCUCCUCAUUCCUGGGCCCACUAUGGUCAGGAAGACUGGGGCUCAGCUGCUGAACUCCCUGUGUGCGCAGGCUGCACCCUCCCACCUGCCUGAUCCUCUAGUGUGCUGGGCAGAAAGGGAGCGCCAGCCCCAGAGUCCCCAACCCUUGCUGUCAAGUGACUCCAGACGGUCUGGAAUAGACAGGUGAGAACCGGAAAAUGCAUUCAUUUAUUCAAAAUAUAUCUGCUUCCUGAUAAUGUCUGCACCAGGUCCAGGAGUCAGACAAAGCAGCGGCCGAAGCAGAUCUUGUGUCUUCCAGACACAACUUCACUGGGCCACUCAGGCACCGGCACCAGUCAGGCAGCACUGCCAGCCCCAAGCCCAGCUUUGCAGGGCCUCUCUGCCAAGCUUCCAGGUUCUGGUAAAGCCAACCCUUUUCCGCUGUUUCCCUAAUCCUGUGUGUCAUAGCUGCUUACAGCUACCCUCUGUGCCAUAGGGUUUCAGUUUUUUUUCAGUUCUACCAAACCCGUCUAACAAAUUCUUUACAUUUAAUUCUCUCUGCAGUGUCUAGAACGAGGGAGAGUAUGGUGGCACAGUAGGCUAAGCCUCCUCCUGCAGUGCCGGCAUCCCGUAUGUAUGCUGCCCCUCUUGCGAUCCAGCUCUCUGCUAUGGCCUGGGAAAGCAGUGGAAAAUGGCCCAAGUGCUUGGGCCCCUAAACCAGCAUGGGAGAACCGGAAGAAGUUCGUGGCUUUAGAUUGGCUCAGCUCUGGCCGUUGCAGCCAUCUGGGGAGUGAACCAGUGGAUGGAAGACUUUUCUGUCUCUGCUUCUCUGUCUGUAACCUUUACCUCUCAAAUAAAUAAAAUCUUAAAAAGAAAGAAAGAAAGAAAGAAAUGCCUAGAAUGGUUUCCUUUUUCCUGACUGCACUUUAUUAUCAUAUGCUAAGAAAGUUGGAUUUUAUUCUAAGUGUAAUAGGAAGCAGCUGGACAUGUAAGCAGGGAAUGACAGAAUUCUCUGUGUGGAGAAAGAGGAGAGCAGACAGAAGGAGAAGCAAGGGGAGCAGACGAGACUCUUUGGUUCUGAUGUCCAGAGACAGCUGUCUAGUCAAAUGAUGGCACAGGUUAUGGAUAAAAGUGGGUGGGACGUCUGUAUGUCAGAAGUAAAAUCAACGUGAUAGACUAGCGGGAGACCAGCUAUGGGGUUGGCCAAAGCGGACGUCACGAUGACCGUCAGGUUUCUGGUUUGAAGAGGGUGCCGGGAGGUGAAAGGAAAUGCCGCCCAACAAGAGGGAGAUGCCGAGCAAAGCUGCAGGCAUGCAGGAAAUGCAAGGUUCCGUUCUGGACGUGUAGGUGUAUGUGAGAAACCCAGCUGGCAAGGUCAAGGCAAGCACAGGAUUCCUACUUCUACUAAAUUUGAACAAUCAGGUUUUUGUGUUAAUUUUGAAAAAAAAAAUGCUGGGGUCUCUCUGUCUCUCCUUCCCUCCCUUUUUUUGUCAACUGACGACAGGACCUCACCGUGCUACCUUCCAUUGCCCAAAGGCCUGAUGCUGCACCAGACACUGGACAUGAAUCUGAAGUAGGUUAUGUAACAGGCAACACCUCUACGUCUACAGUUCUUGUGAUGUCUAUUAUCCUCCCUUCUGACGUCCUUUAAGUUGAAUACUGGGGUUCUCCAUAAAGUUUCUGUACCUCCUAAUCUCACUGGAAAAAAACAGUUGGAACAAAUUGAUAUAAUUUUCAACUGACACUAUUCCUUUUUUUUUUAAGGUUUCUUAACCACUUACUGAGGACCAGGUCACACAGCUUCACUACACCCCAAGGAGCAGAGCAAAGCCCACAGAAGCCACCCCUGCCACAGCCAUACUGCGCUUUCAGCUGGAGGUGGCCGGCACAUGGUCACAGCCUAAACAACAGCCGGGCCCCUUGAGCUUCCUCGCCCGACUUCUCUUCCUCUGGGUGCCUCCGCUGAGGCGACCUCCUUCUUCAUUCAGUCUGGGAACACCCCAGGGCCCCUGGCAUCCUCUACCCCUCACUUCAUCUUGGAUGGAAUCUUCAGUUCUCACUGUCCAGCUCAACCCGCACUUGGUUUCUGGGUAGAGACAAAAAGGACACAGCGCUGUCCACACACAGAGAACACAGGCCUCGAGCAAGUGGCCUCCCCACUCCCUGCAGCCGUCAGCCUGACAGCUGACAAACUGGGCGCCUCCCAGGCUGGCUGGUGUCUGCAGGAAGCUGUGCUCCUGCCCUGCUUGGCUACUCCAGGGUCACGUCUGACGUUUUUCAUGAAUUUGGGAUGUACAGAGAUUUCCAAGUACAGCCUGGUUUCCUGGUAGCCCCUGCUAUCCCAGGUUAAAUGACAAAGUGAAAAGAGCUGCACUCUUUCCCAUGUUUAUUUAUUUCUUUCUUUUUUUUAGGUUUUAUCAAUUUUUAUUUAUCUGAAAGAGCAACAGGGACAGACAGAAAAAGACAAGCAUCUCUCACCCAGUGGUUUACUACCUAAAUGUCUGUUAAUAGCAGAGGUGGGCCAGGCUCAACCAGGAGCCCAGAACUCAGUCUAGGUCUCUCACACACUGGUGGCAGGGACUCCAGUACCUGGGCCACCACUUGCUGCCUCCUGGGUGUGCAUUAGCGAGGAGCCAGGCAAGCAGCAGAGGAGCCAGGACUCAGGCCUGGGGACUCUGGUGUGGAUGUGAGCCUCCCCGGCAGAGCUUACACUGCGCCACAGUGACUUCCCCAGAUUUUUCUUCAUUUUGUAACGAGGAGUCCUGGGUCCUACUGCCAGCAGUGGAUUUGUCUGUCUGGGGCGGUUAUUACUUUCUUCUCAUUUCACGCUGUCCCUUCCUCCUUCCUUCUUUCCUUCCUUCCCUCAUCCCUCCAGUCUCACCCUUCUAGCCUGAAAUGUGCUGUUGCCACUUCUUAAAGUACUGAGUUCCACCUUUCUCUCUGUCUCUCUUUCUCUCUCACUGUCCACCCUGCCUGUCAAAAAAAAAAAAAGUACUGAGUUCCUCAGUAACCUCUAUGGGCUGAACUGUACUGAGUAUGAGAUCUGGCCAUCUCUUGGGAAGCUCUCUGAGAACUGGUCUUACCUGGCUCCAGCAGGAGCUUGGCAGUUCUUCCCAUGGCCCCAUGGUUGCACCUCUUGGAGCACACACUGCAAAAUCCUACCUCUGACUCCCUGCUUCACGGCUGCAGGUCACUAUUCAGGUGCAGAAGGGAGGGGCAGGAGGAUAGACUCCCGGAGAGCCAGAGCUGGAAACUCGAUGCAGACUGCAGGACGUGCGGCCAGGAAGAACAGGAGCAGAGCAGGAGGCAGGACCUCAGUACCACACCUGCUGGAGGCACAGCAUGGCAGAGUCCUGUCUGCUCAGGUCUACAGCAGCCCCCACACCCAGGCCCUCUGACACACCUUACGCGCAGUUCCAAGCCCCAGCUGAUCCCACCCUAGCUCCUUCUUGACAGGAUAUCCACUUGUAUUAGUCUACCUCAAGGAGAGGUGCCACUUGGACACUGGGGACUUAACUGAAAUUCUACCUUGGGGCUGGCGCCAUGGCGCAGAAGGUUAAAGUGCUGGCCUGCAGCGCCAGCAUCCCAUAUGGGCACCGGUUCUAAUCCUGGCUGUUCCUCUUUCAAUCCAGCUCUCUGCUGUGGCCCAGGAAGGCAGUGGAGGAUGGCUCAAGCCCUUGGGUCCCUGCACCCUCAUGGGAGACCCAGAAGAAGCUCCUGGCUCCUGGCUUCAGAUUGGUGCAGCUCUGGCCGUUGCAGUCAUCUGGGGAAUGAACCAGUGGAUGGAAGAAUUCUCUGUCUGUACCUCUCUCUGUAACUUUUGCAAAUAAAUAAAAUAAAUCUUUAAAAAAAGCCCUACCUUACUGGGCACUGUGACUCCUCCAUGGCAGAGCAGGCACUCCCAGAACCAGAAGAUUCUCGUUCUCAGGGAAGGCUCAGGUGAGCACAACCUGCAGAGGGGACGGCUGAGCUGCCCUAGGAUAAGUGUCCUCCCGCCUUCAUUCCUGGGACACAGAGACUCCCUGCACGCGUGCUGACUGGCGAGGGCAUCUCACUUUGCCCUCGUCCCAUCCUCCCUCACGCCAGCUGGCCUGGACAUCACUCAGGAAAGCGCCGAAGCAGCUGCUCCACCUCGUUCCAGCGGCCUGUCUUCCUACACUACAGCCUCUGCAACUCGGCCCUUUCUCGCCCGCUGCGCUGGCCUCCCAGGUUCUCCACGCGCACCAAGCUCACCGCCUUCUGGAGGACACUCUCUCGGCCAGGUCAGAGCUCUCUGUGCACAGCGGUCAGGAACUGCUUCAGCGCCACCAACUCCCUUGCACAACUCUGGCUGCAGCCAUCAGUGGCUGAGCUCCAAGACACUUGCUGACAGACACAGGAGUCUGCAGGACGACUGUGAGAGUGCUAAGUCGUCGACCCCUCUAAGGAGUCAGCUUUCGUCCAUCAGCCAUCUGGGAGAACGUCAAGAGUGGAGAGGACUCCAACCCCAACUGAGGCUGAUCUCUGGCCCCACAUUCAGGGCCCACAACUCUGAAGAGCCUCCUCCAACUGGGCCUCCCUGGUAGAAACUUCACCCUGACAAAAGGAGCGAAACGUGAGAGUUCACUUCUACUUCGCUUUUCUGACUUGGAGAGGAUGGAUUCCUUCUCCUAUCCAAAUCAGCCUGGCGUAUGGUCACAGUGCUCUAGUGGAAACCGCCGAUGGACCGUUAGGUAGAUCCAAGUCCCAGCUCAGCUCCAAACUAACUGAUUUGGGGAAAAUUAUUCAGUUCCCUGAGCCUCUUUUUGUCAUCUGGGGAUACAAGACCUACCUUGCAAGACAGGGAAGUACAGAAAUGGUAUUCGUGAAACAUCUGGCCUAGUGCCCGGCACUUGGAAGGUGCUGAGUGAAUGGUACGUGGUGGGAAUGAAAUGCCAGCUUACAGGAACUUCACGGCACACGUCGCAGCUUGACAUAGGUGUAUAGUUAGUGGCUCUUAACUCCUUGCAGGAAUCUAAGAUCCUGAGAGCAGAGACUUUGUCUCACGCACUGCUGAACCUCAGCAACCUGAAGAAUAUCUGCUGCUAAAUAAUUAGUUGGCAAAUGAAUGAGUGAAAGAAGUAAGACGGGGCCAGCAGAUUUCAGAAUCAACUGGGUGGCAAACACUUAACCGCCAUCAUAAAGAACACAAAAGGAGGCACCACUUGGCCGAGCUGUCUGGGACACCCGUCCUCCCUCCACUUCCACGACUGCCACUCUCAGGCCGGGUUUGCAGAAUGGUGGGCGUGCACCCUCUGCGUAGGAAGUGCAGCUGCAAACCCGCAUCCACCCACUAGGUGUCAGUAGCACCCGCCAGGGUGACGACAUUCUCUAGACACCGCCUUACACCCUGGCGUCGUGUACUCGCGCCCUGGCCCAAGGCUGGACUCCCUCCGUGCACAGCGAUCAGCAGUCAGCAUCCCUGCCGAGCCGGGCCGAGGCAUUCGCGAUGUGGAGAUAGGAACACAGGCUUCAAAGACCCCGAGAGACUCACGGGGCCGGCGGGGCCUCUGGCUCCCAAGGCGCGCUCUCUCCAUCCACCUGACACCAGACCCGUUUCUGGCGGGAGUUUAUCUGCUCCACCGCGGCCUGGGGGCCUUGCGCAGGCGGCGUCUGUGUCGCCUCCACGCGCUCACUGCCCGGCGCGAGGACGCACCAGGCCGUCAGGGGCCGAGUGUUUUAUUCCCGCAGACCGCAGACGAAGAGGCCUGAGCCUUCCGAGGGAGGCUGCGCGGGAAAACCCGGGAGAGGCGCUCCGACGGGGCCAGGGCCGCAAGCCGGGCUCCCCGCACAGAGGGCCCAGCCCCGUCCCGGGACCCAGGCCCGAGCCGAGAUCCGCAGGGCAGGGGGCGCGGGCGCAGCCGCAGCCCUCAGACCCGCCUCGCUCCGCCCCGGCAGGAAAAGCCCUCAGCCGUGGCCCGCCGACUCGCCGACUCGUCGUUUUCUAGGUGCCACAUCGGAAACCGCCGCGGGGCGUGCUGGGACAUGGCGAGGACCAGACGCAUGCGCACAGGCUAAGCCCAGAAAGCGAGGCUCACGCAAGCACAGAAUCCAAAGACGGGCCCCUCGGCCCGCUACUAAUAGGCAGCAACUCUUCGCCAAUGAGAAGGCGGAGUCAUUCUUGCGUCAUACGACGGGACCAAUCAUAAUGUCUGAGAAACGGGGGCGGGGAUAGGCCUCUUAGUUCUCCAGUGCUUUGGCAGUGGCUUAUGUUUUACAGAUGAAAUGAUGCCGUCAUAAUCAGAAACUUAGCGCUUGUGUGACGUAUAUUUCCAGGCCCUUUACAUAGCAAGUCACCCUCACAAUAAUCCUGUGAGAUCAACACUUACUAUUUUCAUCUUCCAGACGCGGAAACCCGGAGUUUGGCCUCCUAAUGACCGAGGUCUGGCACGUGUUUCUAGCCCACGUCUUCUCCUUCUAAGAUGUUUUAUUUUCAGAUAUUACCGAAAGAUCUCAAAACAGUCUCACCUGAAAAUGAAUUCUGAAAUAUUUUUCUAAUAUUUACAUUUGUGUUUGUGUUCUGGCUUGGGAUAUACUGAAUAUAUUUUGGAGAGCUUCUGGAUUGGGAUGUGUUGUGAAACAAAGAGCGAAGGGUAACACUAA